CGGCCCACGGGUUGUAAACUGCUUUUGCUAGGGGAAUAAACCGUCCCGAACCGUGUCGGGAGCGUGAAUGUACUCUGAGAAUAAGGAUCGGCUAAACUCCGUGC
rnacentral:rRNA from 1 species